UACGUAGGGUGCGAGCGUUGUCCGGAAUUAUUGGGCGUAAAGAGCUCGUAGGCGGUGUGUCACGUCGUUCGUGAAAACCUGCAGCUUAACUGUGGGCGUGCGGUCGAUACGGGCAUCACUGGAGUUCGGCAGGGGAGACUGGAAUUCCUGGUGUAGCGGUGAAAUGCGCAGAUAUCAGGAGGAACACCGGUGGCGAAGGCAGGUCUCUGGGCCGAUACUGACGCUGAGGAGCGAAAGCGUGGGGAGCGAACAGG
rnacentral:rRNA from 1 species